ACAAAGACCAAAUAUCUUGAGCCCUUGAUUGGUUAAACGUCAGAUGCAAAACGAACCACUAGGACACAGCUAUCCCUUAGAAAGGAGGAUGUGGCAAUGGAGAAGAAAAAUCCCUUUCCUUCCAGCACCCUCCUGACCCUGUAGCAGAGACUGGGGCCAGCCUCUCAAGUGAUUGGCUCAGGGAUGGCCAUAUAACCCAGUCAAAGCCCAUGAAACACAAGAAGACAUUUCUUGGUAACGUCUGACCAAAAGAAGUUUCCUCUCUCUUCCUUGGAAGCUGUCAGUAUGGGGAUGUAAGGUCUAGAUCCACUGCUACAGCCAUUUGUGACCAUGGAGGAAGAUUCUGGAACUGCUAGAUUGUUGGGGAGCACAGCAUGGUGCCCGAGGAUGAAGCCGACACCACAGAAGAUGGAGCUGAGAGAUGGAGCAAACUGAAGCUUUGGGACAGCAUCAAACCCCUUGAUCAGACUUCGCCUGAAGCCUGACCUUUGGCUAGGCCUUUCAGUGGCCUCAGACAAUUAAACAUUAUUUAUUACAUAACCCCGUUUAAGUAGGGAUUUCUGAGUCUUGCAACAUAAAGAGCCAAUUUGAUGCAAACCUUAGAAUAGGUACCCAGCAGUGCCAAGGGCCUCCUCUGCACCCCGGGGCCUCUAGAAGGAAGUGAGCCUGUUCCAGAACCCAAAUAAAAGGUCUCACCUCCCACUUGUCUAUUUCAGGGUUUCCAUGCCUCCCGUCUCCAUAGCACUGUGACUCUCUUGGAAAGGCAGAGGAACCGGAGAAGGAGAAUGGGGCCUGUUUCCAGGCUGCGUUGCCACGCUGAAUGGCUGGGGAGGCUGGGGGGCUGGUGAGAGAGAGGCAGCUUCACGCUUGACAUUUCAGGAUAGAGAUAACAGGGUAAAAAUAAACCCCCAAGUGCCUGCA